rnacentral:rRNA from 1 species
UUGCACGCUGGCGGCAUGCUUUACACAUGCAAGUCGAACGGUAACAGGCCUUCGGGUGCUGACGAGUGGCGACCGGGUGAGUAAUGCAUCGGAACGUGCCCAGAGGUGGGGGAUAACGCAGCGAAAGCUGUGCUAAUACCGCAUGUGAUCUGAGGAUGAAAGCGGGGGACCAGGCAGCAAUGUUUGGCCUCGCGCCUUUGGAGCGGCCGAUGUCAGAUUAGGUAGUUGGUGGGGUAAAGGCCUACCAAGCCGACGAUCUGUAGCUGGUCUGAGAGGACGACCAGCCACACUGGGACUGAGACACGGCCCAGACUCCUACGGGAGGCAGCAGUGGGGAAUUUUGGACAAUGGGCGCAAGCCUGAUCCAGCAAUGCCGCGUGCGGGAAGAAGGCCUUCGGGUUGUAAACCGCUUUUGUACGGAACGAAAAGGCUCUGGCUAAUACCUGGGGCUGAUGACGGUACCGUAAGAAUAAGCACCGGCUAACUACGUG